AAGGUGCGAAUUUGAUUGAGGUUGAUCCUGUCUUUUCAAAUUUGCUUUAUAAAUAGUAUUAAAUACAAGUUUUUGCGAGUUAUUUAUUUUCUGAAGGAUAAGAUAAUUUAUUUGUAGUUUUUAGUUUUGAAUAU
rnacentral:rRNA from 1 species